GUAAUACCGUAUAUUCCCUAAGGGGGAAAGAUUUAUCGCUAUCAGAUGAGCCUGCGUUAGAUUAGCUUGUUGGUAGGGUAAUAGCCUACCAAGGCAAUGAUCUAUAGUUGGUCUGAGAGGACGAUCAGCCACACUGGAACUGAGAUACGGUCCAGACUCCUACGGGAGGCAGCAGUGGGGAAUAUUGGACAAUGGGCGAAAGCCUGAUCCAGCCAUGCCGCAUGAGUGAAGAAGGCCUUAGGGUUGUAAAACUCUUUUAGUGGGGAAGAUAAUGACGGUACCCACAGAAGAAGUCCCGGCAAACUCCGUGCCAGCAGCCGCGGUAAUACGGAGGGGGCGAGCGUUGUUCGGAAUUAUUGGGCGUAAAGGGCACGUAGGCGGCCUAGUAAGUUAAAAGUGAAAUACCAGGGCUUAACCUUGGAACUGCUUUUAAUACUGCUAGGCUAGAGUUCGAA
rnacentral:rRNA from 1 species